rnacentral:rRNA from 14 species
GCAUGGUGGAUGCCUUGGGUCUGAGAGGCGAUGAAGGACGUGGUAAGCUGCGAUAAGCCGGGGGGAACUGCACACAAGUAUUAUAUCCCUGGAUUUCCGAAUGGGACAACCCAGUACACUGAAGGUGUAUUACUCGAAAGAGAGCCAACCUCCUGAACUGAAACAUCUAAGUAGGGAGAGGAAAAGAAAACAAUAGUGAUUCCCUGAGUAGUGGCGAGCGAAAUGGGAAGAGCCUG